GUGGGGAAUUUUGGACAAUGGGCGAAAGCCUGAUCCAGCAAUGCCGCGUGUGUGAAGAAGGUCUUCGGAUUGUAAAGCACUUUAAGUUGGGAGGAAGGGCAGUAAGUUAAUACCUUGCUGUUUUAACGUUACCGACAGAAUAAGCACCGGCUAACUUCGUGCCAGCAGCCGCGGUAAUACGAAGGGUGCAAGCGUUAAUCGGAAUUACUGGGCGUAAAGCGCGCGUAGGUGGUUUUGUAAGUUGGAGGUGAAAUCCCCGGGCUCAACCUGGGAACUGCCUCCAAAACUGCAUGACUAGAGUACGGUAGAGGGUAGUGGAAUUUCCUGUGUAGCGGUGAAAUGCGUAGAUAUAGGAAGGAACACCAGUGGCGAAGGCGACUACCUGGACUGAUACUGACACUGAGGUGCGAAAGCGUGGGGAGCAAACAGGAUUAGAUACCCGUGUAGUCC
rnacentral:rRNA from 1 species